rnacentral:misc_RNA from 1 species
AACGCACAUUGCGCCCUUUGGUAUUCCUUAGGGCAUGCCUGUUCGAGCGUCAUCUAAGACCUUCAAGCACUGCUUGGUGUUGGGCGUUUGUCUCGCCUCGGGCGCGGACUCGCCUCAAAAGCAUUGGCGGCCUGUGUAUUGGCUUCGAGCGCAGCAGACUCGCGUAUCGUCCCUCUGGCACAGGCGUCCAGCAAGCCUCUUACUCCAAGUUUGACCUCGGAUCAGGUAGGGAUACCCGCUGAACUUAA